UGGGGGGACCAUCCUCCAAGGCUAAAUACUCCUGACUGACCGAUAGUGAACCAGUACCGUGAGGGAAAGGCGAAAAGAACCCCGGCGAGGGGAGUGAAAAAGAACCUGAAACCGUGUACGUACAAGCAGUGGGAGCCCCACCACUAAGCCAGUGGUGAACUCCACAUACGCAUCCUUUGCUGAGGAUACGGUUAACGGAGCGCAAGCGACGUUCAACCGCAAAAGAAGCAGAGGGGGCUUAGUGGUGGGGUGACUGCGUACCUUUUGUAUAAUGGGUCAGCGACUUAUAUUCUGUAGCAAGGUUAACCGAAUAGGGGAGCCGGAGGGAAACCGAGUCUUAAUUGGGCGUUAAGUUGCAGGGUAUAGACCCGAAACCCGGUGAUCUAGCCAUGGGCAGGUUGAAGGUUGGGUAACACUAACUGGAGGACCGAACCGACUAAUGUUGAAAAAUUAGCGGAUGACCUGUGGCUGGGGGUGAAAGGCCAAUCAAACCGGGAGAUAGCUGGUUCUCCCCGAAAGCUAUUUAGGUAGCGCCUCGUGAAUUCAUCUCCGGGGGUAGAGCACUGUUUCGGCUAGGGGGCCAUCCCGGCUUACCAACCCGAUGCAAACUGCGAAUACCGGAGAAUGUUAUCACGGGAGACACACGGCGGGUGCUAACGUCCGUCGUGAAGAGGGAAACAACCCAGACCGCCAGCUAAGGUCCCAAAGUCAUGGUUAAGUGGGAAACGAUGUGGGAAGGCCCAGACAGCCAGGAUGUUGGCUUAGAAGCAGCCAUCAUUUAAAGAAAGCGUAAUAGCUCACUGGUCGAGUCGGCCUGCGCGGAAGAUGUAACGGGGCUAAACCAUGCACCGAAGCUGCGGCAGCGACGCUGAUGCGUUGUUGGGUAGGGGAGCGUUCUGUAAGCCUGCGAAGGUGGCCUGUGAGGGUUGCUGGAGGUAUCAGAAGUGCGAAUGCUGACAUAAGUAACGAUAAAGCGGGUGAAAAGCCCGCUCGCCGGAAGACCAAGGGUUCCUGUCCAACGUUAAUCGGGGCAGGGUGAGUCGACCCCUAAGGCGAGGCCGAAAGGCGUAGUCGAUGGGAAACGGGUUAAUAUUCCCGUACUUGGUGUUACUGCGAAGGGGGGACGGAGAAGGCUAUGUUGGCCGGGCGACGGUUGUCCCGGUUUAAGCGUGUAGGUGUGUGUUCCAGGUAAAUCCGGUUCACUUUAACACUGAGGCGUGACGACGAGGCACUACGGUGCUGAAGCAACAAAUGCCCUGCUUCCAGGAAAAGCCUCUAAGCAUCAGGUAACAUCAAAUCGUACCCCAAACCGACACAGGUGGUCAGGUAGAGAAUACCAAGGCGCUUGAGAGAACUCGGGUGAAGGAACUAGGCAAAAUGGUGCCGUAACUUCGGGAGAAGGCACGCUGACACGUAGGUGAAGUGAUUUACUCAUGGAGCUGAAGUCAGUCGAAGAUACCAGCUGGCUGCAACUGUUUAUUAAAAACACAGCACUGUGCAAACACGAAAGUGGACGUAUACGGUGUGACGCCUGCCCGGUGCCGGAAGGUUAAUUGAUGGGGUCAGCGCAAGCGAAGCUCCUGAUCGAAGCCCCGGUAAACGGCGGCCGUAACUAUAACGGUCCUAAGGUAGCGAAAUUCCUUGUCGGGUAAGUUCCGACCUGCACGAAUGGCGUAAUGAUGGCCAGGCUGUCUCCACCCGAGACUCAGUGAAAUUGAACUCGCUGUGAAGAUGCAGUGUACCCGCGGCAAGACGGAAAGACCCCGUGAACCUUUACUAUAGCUUGACACUGAACAUUGAGCCUUGAUGUGUAGGAUAGGUGGGAGGCUUUGAAGUGUGGACGCCAGUCUGCAUGGAGCCGACCUUGAAAUACCACCCUUUAAUGUUUGAUGUUCUAACGUGGACCCGUGAUCCGGGUUGCGGACAGUGUCUGGUGGGUAGUUUGACUGGGGCGGUCUCCUCCUAAAGAGUAACGGAGGAGCACGAAGGUUGGCUAAUCCUGGUCGGACAUCAGGAGGUUAGUGCAAUGGCAUAAGCCAGCUUGACUGCGAGCGUGACGGCGCGAGCAGGUGCGAAAGCAGGUCAUAGUGAUCCGGUGGUUCUGAAUGGAAGGGCCAUCGCUCAACGGAUAAAAGGUACUCCGGGGAUAACAGGCUGAUACCGCCCAAGAGUUCAUAUCGACGGCGGUGUUUGGCACCUCGAUGUCGGCUCAUCACAUCCUGGGGCUGAAGUAGGUCCCAAGGGUAUGGCUGUUCGCCAUUUAAAGUGGUACGCGAGCUGGGUUUAGAACGUCGUGAGACAGUUCGGUCCCUAUCUGCCGUGGGCGCUGGAGAACUGAGGGGGGCUGCUCCUAGUACGAGAGGACCGGAGUGGACGCAUCACUGGUGUUCGGGUUGUCAUGCCAAUGGCACUGCCCGGUAGCUAAAUGCGGAAGAGAUAAGUGCUGAAAGCAUCUAAGCACGAAACUUGCCCCGAGAUGAGUUCU
rnacentral:rRNA from 1 species